UGCCGCCAUUGUAAAAAUUACAUCGCAUAAUAUGCAAAUAUUUAUUAUCAGAUUUUUAUACUUUCAAAAAGUGCUGCAAUGGCAUGAAAAAUACGAAAAGCAAAGACUGUAAAUUUAAAAACAAAAGAAAUAAACAACCCAAAAUAUAGCUGCAUUAUGCGUUCUAAAUUUGAAACGAGUAAAAAGCAAAAAUGCCGUCGUCGUCGAGCGAUGCAAGUUUGGAAUCAACACCGGAAUUUAUAAAGAAACAAGCGACAUCGGUUGUUGGCAAUUUGCUGCCUACUAAGUCAAGACAUAAAUAUCUAAAAGCAUAUGAAAACUUCUUACAAUAGAGAUCAUCUAAAGGCGUAAAAUCGUUUUCAGAUUCUGUGCUUCUUGUGUAUUUUCAAGAAUUGUCAACGCACAUGCAACCUACACUUUGGGGCAUAUAUUCAAUGUUAAAGGCCACCAUCGGCACAAAACACGAUGUCCAAAUCAACGAUUACACAAAAUUAACGACGUUUAUCAAAAGGUUUUCUGAAGGCCACAAGCCAAAGAAGUCUAGUACUAACUACAAAUAACAUCGAGAGGUUCAUAAACGAAGCACCCAACUACAUUUAUUUGUUAAUGAAAGUGGUUCUUAUCUUUGGGCUUAAUGGUGCCUGCCGUGGAAGUGAACUAGUAAAUUUAACUGUUGAUAAUGUCCAAAAACAUUCUGAAGAAGUAGUAUUAGUAUUUUUGCCUGAUACAAAAACAAAGAGAGUGGUCAUUUGUAAUAAAGGGAGAACAUAAGAAAAUUGUUGAAAAGUACCAAGCACUUCAGCCUUCUGACUACACUAAUAAUAGCUUCUUUAUCCAAUAUCUAAAUGGAAAAUGUGUGAGACAGGUAAUUGGGAAGAAUAAAUUAAGCUCACUUCCAGGAGAUAUAGCAUGAUUUUUAAAAUUAGAAAAUCCGGAAAUGUACACGGGGCACUGUUUUAGACGUACAUCUGCUACUAUUCUGGCCAAAUCCGGAGCGGAUCUAACUCUACUUAAGCGGCAGGGGGGUUGGAAAUCAAGUUCUGUAGCAGAAGGCUAUAUAGAUGAAUCAGUAGAAAACAAGUCAAAGAUAAGCAACAAACUAACAAAUAAUAUUAAACUAAGACCAACUUCACCUUUGCCAGGAUGCUCAUUUGGUGUAAAUCCAAGACCAUCUAGACCUUUGCCAGAAUGCUCAUCUACUAAAAAACCAAGACCAGCUUCACCUAUGCCUGGAUGCUCAUCUGAUGUAAACUCAAGACCAGCUUCACCUUUGCCGGGAUGCUCAUCUGAUGUUAACACCCAAGACCAGCAUCAGCAUUUCCGGGAUGCUCAUUUGAUGUAAAUGCAAGACCAGCUUCACCUUUGCCGGGAUGCUCAGAAUGGUUAUCCAGUGAUAGGUUACCCUCUUCCAACAUUUAUUCCCGCAUACCAAAUAGCCAAACUACAACCACUCAAAUAAAUAGAAGUAGAAUAUCCCUCCCAAAAGUGUACUAUCACACUUCACUUUUAGUAAGUUUUUAAAAUCUUAAGGGAUAAAAUAAUCACAUAACCAUUAUUAUUUUUGUUUAUUGUUUCUUGUUAAAUUUGAUAACUUCAGCAAUUUUAUUUUCUGUUUCAACAUUAAGAUUUUUUGUUAUAAGUACUUUUAUAAUUUUGUUUCAACACUAAGGUUUUAUGUUAUAUUUGUAAUACUAACUAAUAAACAAAUAACAUUAUGACAAUAAUGACAAUGAACUGAAGUCACAAGAAACAUGCUUUUUGUAUGUUUCUUGUGAUUUUAGCAUUUUCUGAAAGUAUAAGUAAAUCUGGUAAUAAAUAUUUGCAAUGUAAUUUCUACAAUGGCGGAGCUGAAAUUGAAUAAAUAUGAUUGUGUCAAUA